UUAGAGUUUGAUCCUGUGCUCCGGACGAACGCUGGCGGCGCGCCUAACACAUGCAAGUCGAACGAGCGAGAGAGAGCUUGCUUUCUCAAGCGAGUGGCGAACGGGUGAGUAACGCGUGAGGAACCUGCCUCAAAGAGGGGGACAACAGUUGGAAACGACUGCUAAUACCGCAUAAGCCCACAGCUCGGCAUCGAGCAGAGGGAAAAGGAGCAAUCCGCUUUGAGAUGGCCUCGCGUCCGAUUAGCUGGUUGGUGAGGUAAUGGCCCACCAAGGCGACGAUCGGUAGCCGGACUGAUAGGUUGAACGGCCACAUUGGGACUGAGACACGGCCCAGACUCCUACGGGAGGCAGCAGUGGGGAAUAUUGCACAAUGGGGGAAACCCUGAUGCAGCGACGCCGCGUGGAGGAAGAAGGUCUUCGGAUUGUAAACUCCUGUUGUUGAGGAAGAUAAUGACGGUACUCAACAAGGAAGUGACGGCUAACUACGUGCCAGCAGCCGCGGUAAAACGUAGGUCACAGGCGUCGUCCGGAAUUACUGGGUGUAAAGGGAGCGCACGCGGGAAGACAAGUUGGAAGUGAAAUCUAUGGGCUCAACCCAUAAACUGCUUUCAAAACUGUUUUUCUUGAGUAGUGCAGAGGUAGGCGGAAUUCCCGGUGUAGCGGUGGAAUGCGUAGAUAUCGGGAGGAACACCAGUGGCGAAGGCGGCCUACUGGGCACCAACUGACGCUGAGGCUCGAAAGUGUGGGUAGCAAACAGGAUUAGAUACCCUGGUAGUCCACACCGUAAACGAUGAUUACUAGGUGUUGGAGGAUUGACCCCUUCAGUGCCGCAGUUAACACAAUAAGUAAUCCACCUGGGGAGUACGACCGCAAGGUUGAAACUCAAAGGAAUUGACGGGGGCCCGCACAAGCAGUGGAGUAUGUGGUUUAAUUCGACGCAACGCGAAGAACCUUACCAAGUCUUGACAUCCCUUGACGAUGCUGGAAACAGUAUUUCUCUUCGGAGCAAGGAGACAGGUGGUGCAUGGUUGUCGUCAGCUCGUGUCGUGAGAUGUUGGGUUAAGUCCCGCAACGAGCGCAACCCUUACUGUCAGUUACUACGCAAGAGGACUCUGGCAGGACUGCCGUUGACAAAACGGAGGAAGGUGGGGAUGACGUCAAAUCAUCAUGCCCUUUAUGACUUGGGCUACACACGUACUACAAUGGCGUUAAACAAAGAGAAGCAAGACCGCGAGGUGGAGCAAAACUCAGAAACAACGUCCCAGUUCGGACUGCAGGCUGCAACUCGCCUGCACGAAGUCGGAAUUGCUAGUAAUCGUGGAUCAGCAUGCCACGGUGAAUACGUUCCCGGGCAUUGUACACACCGCCCGUC
rnacentral:rRNA from 1 species